rnacentral:piRNA from 1 species
UGAGGGGAAACUAAUCAUUUUUGACAGC